GUGCUCGCUUCGGCAGCACAUAUACUAAAAUUGGAACGAUACAGAGAAGAUUAGCAUGGCCCCUGUGCAAGGAUGACACGUAAACUACAUGACUACCACAGUUUA